ACCGAGCUCGCGCAAGGGGCCCUGAAAGGGGGUCGGGGUUGAGUGGUGGGGGUGCAGUCCCCCACAAAGGAGUGGGGG
rfam:Otolemur garnettii contig119452, whole genome shotgun sequence.